UACGGAGGGUGCAAGCGUUAUCCGGAUUCACUGGGUUUAAAGGGUGCGUAGGUGGGAAUGUAAGUCAGUGGUGAAAUCUCCGUGCUUAACAUGGAACUGCCAUUGAUACUAUGUUUCUUGAAUUUUCUGGAGGUAAGCGGAAUAUGUCAUGUAGCGGUGAAAUGCUUAGAUAUGACAUAGAACACCAACUGCGAAGGCAGCUUGCUACAGGGAUAUUGACACUGAGGCACGAAAGCGUGGGGAGCGAACAGG
rnacentral:rRNA from 1 species